AUUAGUGGCAGACGGGUGAGUAUGCAUAGGAAUCUACCUAGUAGUAUGGGAUAGCCACUAGAAAUGGUGGGUAAUACUGUAUAAUCCCUGCGGGGGAAAGAUUUAUCGCUAUUAGAUGAGCCUAUGUUAGAUUAGCUAGUUGGUAGGGUAAAGGCCUACCAAGGCGAUGAUCUAUAGCUGGUCUGAGAGGAUGAUCAGCCACACUGGAACUGAGAUACGGUCCAGACUCCUACGGGAGGCAGCAGUGGGGAAUAUUGGACAAUGGGCGCAAGCCUGAUCCAGCUAUGCCGCGUGAGUAAGGAAGGCCUUAGGGUUGUAAAACUCUUUCAGUAGGGAAGAUAAUGACGGUACCUACAGAAGAAGUCCCGGCAAACUCCGUGCCAGCAGCCGCGGUAAUACGGAGGGGGCAAGCGUUGUUCGGAAUUAUUGGGCGUAAAGGGCAUGUAGGCGGUUCGG
rnacentral:rRNA from 1 species